CAAUAGCGUAUAUUAAAGCUGUUGCAGUUAAAAAGCUCGUAGUUGGAUUUCUGGUGGGAGCGAUCGGUCUGGCGCUUAGCGCGAGUACUUGCAUCGUCUCCGGCCAUCCUUGGGGGGAGUCUGUCUGGCAUUAGGUUGUCGGGCAGAGGAUCCUCAUCGUUUACUGUGAAAAAAUUAGAGUGUUCAAAGCAGGCUUAUGCCGUUGAAUAUAUUAGCAUGGAAUAAUAAGAUAGGACUUUGGUACUAUUUUGUUGGUUUGCGCACCAAAGUAAUGAUUAAUAGGGACAGUUGGGGGUAUUCGUAUUCCGUUGUCAGAGGUGAAAUUCUUGGAUUUACGGAAGACGAACUACUGCGAAAGCAUUUACCAAGGAUGUUUUCAUUAA
rnacentral:rRNA from 1 species